rnacentral:tRNA from 508 species
GCCGGCUUAGCUCAUCUGGUAGAGCAGUUGAUUUGUAAUCAUCAGGUGGCGGGUUCGAGUCCUGCAGCCGGCACCA